GUAAACAUAGUUUAAAAAAAACAUUAGAUUGUGAUUCUAAAAAUAGGGGUUAAACCCCCCCUUGUCUACC
rnacentral:tRNA from 1 species